AGAAGAUAAUUUGUUAUUAAUUAACCAAAAAAGAAAGGUUUCUACCAUAAACGCUUCUAUAUAUGUGAAAAGCAAAGUUUCCUUUGGCUUCGAACAAAAUUGGUAUAAAACGUUUGUAUUUUCAUCAUGGUUCACGCUGCCAAAUCUUCAUCUUUUGAACCCUCCAUCUCUCCCAAACCAAAUCAUUGUGAUUCCGUGCCGGUGAGUUCCUCUUCCUGUCUCUCUUUUAUCUUUUGCCCUUUGCAUUUUUUGGUAACUUUGGCAAGGUCACGUUUGUCUCUCCUAUCAAUUUCAAGUUAAUAGAUUUAAGAGUUGAAACGAUUGACCAAAGACUGCAACCAAAACCGACUUUCCACGGUAACAAUCUUCCUCGCUCUUUUUUCACUUUAUAUCGCUCUCUCUCUCUCUCUCUUUUUGCCUCUAACAGUUUAAUAUUUUUUAUUCUAACACAAAACUAUGGGUGUUUCCGAGUUUCUUCUUUUAUAGUUAUCUUUAUUUUAAUGGUUAAACUGGGAACAAGAGCAAGUGAUUGCGUUCAGGGGCAUUUUUUUUGUUUGUACUAUUCAUGAUUAACAUGUUAGGUUUUGAUUCACUUACACUGUAUUUGGUUUACAGUUUUGAGAUUUAUUUUUGAGAUAAAAAAGUUCUAUAGGUUUGCGUAUUUUUCCGUCUUUAGUAAUUUUUUUAAACAUUUUAACGAACUCUUUUACUUUUUGAAUAGAGGUACGCUAUGUACAUCCAAAAAGUAAAAAAUUUGACAAAAAAUCACUAAAGACGAAAAAACACGAAUAACGAAACAGUCAAAAAUUUUGGAAAAAUUAUUUCUGAGAGGAGAACCAAACAAAGUGUUAAUGUUUAUUAAUCAAGAAGAGAGUAAGGGCCAAUGAAGAAAAGGAUUUGCCGAUGCACGCUUGCGGAGGGAGAAAACUUGAAAACAUGAGAUUUGACGAUCUAGCUUUGGAGGAUUUGCCAGAGAAACACCUCUUAAUGUUUAUAUGAAGCAGGGGUUGGUGUUGUAGAUGGUAAAAAAUGCAUGGGAGAGUUACGGAAAAAUAUGGUGAUUGAGGUGGGCGGGCGCAUCAGAAUCACAUGCAAUGGAUUCUAGUUUCUGUGCAAAAAUAUUGCGAGACAUGAGUUCCUCCUACUAUUGCUAGAAGGAGAUGAGAAUAGGGGAUUUGAUUAUGGUAAGUAGUGAAUAGGGGUUUGAAUGGGAUGAUGUGGGUUAGAAUGAGUGAGAAUAUGAAGGAAGAUUCGGAUGUAAGUCAUGAUAAAUUGGGGUUUGAAAUGUAUUAUGGUUAACUGUGUUUAAUAGGUUAGAGGACGGAGAUGAAUCGCU